UCCUGUCUAAUCAGUGCUAACUGCAGUCGC
rnacentral:sRNA from 1 species